rnacentral:rRNA from 1 species
GUGUCAGCAGCCGCGGUAAUACGUAGGGUGCAAGCGUUAAUCGGAAUUACUGGGCGUAAAGCGUGCGCAGGCGGUUAUGUAAGUCAGAUGUGAAAUCCCCGGGCUCAACCUGGGAAUGGCAUUUGAGACUGCAUGGCUAGAGUGUGUCAGAGGGGGGUAGAAUUCCACGUGUAGCAGUGAAAUGCGUAGAGAUGUGGAGGAAUACCGAUGGCGAAGGCAGCCCCCUGGGAUAACACUGACGCUCAUGCACGAAAGCGUGGGGAGCAAACAGGAUUAGAUACCCCCGUAGUCC